GUCAGCCCCGCCUAUCGCCACGGUCAUUCAGGGUAAGUCCGUCCAUAGGGCGGCGCCGUGGCGGGUUUGAUGGGAAAGGCGGGGUAGGAGGA
ncrna:unclassified sequences DTF1874 RNA